rnacentral:rRNA from 1 species
UACGUAGGGUGCGAGUGUUAAUCGGAAUUACUGGGCGUAAAGCGUGCGCAGGCGGUUCUCCAAGUCCGUUGUGAAAGCCCCGGGCUUAACCUGGGAAUGGCAGUGGAAACUAGGGGACUGGAAUCUGGCAGAGGGGGGUGGAAUGCCGCGUGUAGCAGUGAAAUGCGUAGAUAUGCGGAGGAACACCGAUGGCGAAGGCAAUCCCCUGGACCUGUACUGACGCUCAUGCACGAAAGCGUGGGGAGCAAACAGG